CCUCCCUGUGUCCAAAACAUCUUCGUGUGACAAAAGACAAAAUGAACUGCAGUACUACAUUGCAAAGCUGUUGGAGCGUUCUCCAGGUGAGCCUCUGGAGGAACAUCAGGUGGAGCUGAACAAGACCAGAGCAGAAACGCAGUCCGCUAACUCAGGUGUGAGUUCUCAGGUGGAGUCGAGCUGGAGCAG